rnacentral:lncRNA from 1 species
GGGGAAUCCAUCUCCAGUGGCCAUUUUCAUCAUCCCGGUGAUCUCCAUGACGAGGAGGGAGUAGUUCUCCCUUGGCAUGAGGGUAUGUACCAGUAGUUAUGUGUUUGAUCUCUCUCUCUCUCAUGUUCUUGAGAUGUCUUGAUCUCGAUGUACCAUGGUCUUUGCUACUAUAGUUGGAUCUUAUGAUGUUCUUCCCCCUCUCCCUCUUGUAAUGAAUUGAGUUUCCCCUUUGGAGUUAUCUUAUCGGAUUGAGUCUUUGAGAACACUUGAUGUAUGUCUUGCACGUGUCUAUCUGCUGUGAUCAACUUGCGGGUUUGUGACAAUUGGGAACCUAUGCAUAUGGGUUGGCACACGUGGAUUCAUGUGAGUACUUGAUGUAUGUUUUGGUGAUCAACUUGCGGGUUCGUGACAUUGGGAACCUAUGCACAGGGGUUGGCACACGUUUUGACUCUCUGGUAGAAACUUUGGGACACUCUUUGAAGUUCUAUGUGUUGGUUGAAUAGAUGAUUCUGAGAUUUUGUGAUGCAUAUCGUAUAAUCAUGCCCAGGGAUACUUCAGGUGACAAUGGAGUAUCUAGGUCACAUUAGGGUCUUGGUUGAUAUGUAUCUUAAGGUGUUAUUCUAGUACGAACUCUAUGAUGGAUCGAACGAAAAGAAUAGCUUCGUGUUAUUUUACUACGGACUCUUGAAUAGAUCGAUCAGAAAGAAUAACUUUGUGGUGGUUUCGUACCCGACAAUAAUCUCUUCGUUUGUUCCCCGCUGUUAGUGACUUUGGAGUGACUCUUUGUUGCAUGUUGAGGGCUAGUUAUAUGAUCCAAUUGUGUUAUCAUUGUUGAGAGAACUUCACUAGUGAAAGUAUGAACCCUAGACCUUGUUUCCACGCAUUGCAAUACCGUUCCUGCUCACUUUUACCAUUUGUUACCUUGCUGUUUUUGUAAUUUCAGAUUACAAAAACCUAUAUCUACCAUCCAUAUGGCACUUGUAUCACCAUCUCUUCGCCGAACUAGUGCACCUAUACAACUUACCAUUGUAUUAAGUGUGCUGGGGACACAAGAGACUCUUUGUUAUUUGGUUGCAGGGUUGCUUGAGAGAGACCAUCUUCAUCCUACGCCUCCCGCGGAUUGAUAAACCUUAGGUCACCCACUUGAGGGGAAAUUGCUACUGUCCUACAACCCUCUGCACUUGGAGGCCCAACAAUGUCUACAAGGAGAAGGUUGCUUAGUAGACAUCAAGCUCUUUUCUGGCGCCGUUACCGGGGAGGCUAGGUAAGCGGCACUAACAUCCCAUCAACGAAGAUCUUUUCUGGCAGCGUUGCCGAGGAGGUUAGCACUUGAAGGUAAAUCUUUAGAUCUUGCAAUCGAAUCUUUUUGUUUCUUGUUCUUUCGCUGAAAAUUACAAAAAAAUGGAAUUGAGGAUGCCUCAUAUGCUCCAUCUUUUCAAUGUCUUUCGUGAGCAUGAUGGGAAGGAAAAUUGUGCUCAAGUGCUGAAAUAAGAAUUACACAGAAUGCUUGGCAUAGAAUAUGAGAAUGAUGAGCAUGAUUGCAAUGUUGUUAGCAUGAAUUCUAUGAAUACCCAUGAUGCUAAUGAUAUGCAAAGCCACAAGCUUGGGGAUUCUAUAUUUGAUGAAGAUGAUCUUUUUAGUUCUUCCACUUUGAAUGAUCAAAAUUAUUUUGAUGAAAGCAUGCCCCCUAUCUAUGAUGAUUAUUGUGAGGAUACUUAUGCUUUGAAGAAGAGGGAUGAUAAAGCUUGUCAUACUUUCGAAAACCCUUUGCUAAACCUUCCUUUUUCAUUGUGGACACAAUUUGUAGUGCUCAAGUCUUUUACGAUACUCCCACUACUAUUCUUGAGAAUAGAUUUCCUUAUGUGGAGAGUACUAAAAUUUCUAUGCUUGUAGAUCAUGAAAAGAAAGCUUUAGGUGCUGGUUAUAUUGUUGAAUUCAUUCAUGAUGCUACUGAAAAUUACAAUGGGAGAGGAUCAUAUGCUUCUACUUAUUGCAAUAGUAUCAAGCUUCCUCUCCAUAUGUUGAAAUUUUUGAAGCUAUGCUUGUUUUGCCUUCCUAUGCUAGUUGAUUCUUCCUCCAAUAAAUUGUUUGAUCACAAAAUCCCUAUGCAUAGGAAGUGGGUUAGACUUAAAUGUGCUAGCCAUUUGCUCGAUGAUGAUCUUGUUGUGUUUCAAUCCUUACCUUUUAUGUGAGCAUCAUUGAAAUCAAUGCCUAGCUAAGGGCGUUAAACGAUAGCGCUUGUUGGGAGGCAACCAAAUGAAUAAAUUUUUCUUUGCUCUUUGCUACCUAUUUUGUUUUCUCCACACCAUCAUAAUUCUGUUAUGAUUGUGUCUUUUGUGUUUCUUUUUGUGCUUGUGCCAAGCAAAACCGUUAUGAUUAGUCUUGGUGAUGAUUGUUUAAUCAUGCUGGAAAAAGACAGAAACUUUCUCCUCACGAAAAGAAUUUUCAUUUUUAUUCUCUAAGAGCUUUUGAGUUGAUUUUCUUUGCUUCUGAUUGCUAUGCAAUUUAUUCAGACUGUCGUAAUUGGUAAAAAAAAUUGAAGUACGAGAGGUAUACCAAAGUAUACAGACUGCUACAGACUGGUCUGCUUUUAACAAAUUCUGUUUUUGUUGAGUUGGUUGCUUAUUUUGAUGAAACUAUGGAUAGUAUCGGAGGGUAUUAGCCAUGGAAGAUUGAAAAUACAGUAACCCAACAUCAUCAUAAGUAGAAUUUAAGUUUGCUAAAGUACCUAAGUAAGUGGUGGUUUGCUUUCUCAUACUAAUGUUAUCACGAGUUUCUGUUUAAGUUUCGUGUUGUGAAGUUUUCAAGUUUUGGGUGAAGUUCUUAUGGACAAAGAGAUAAAGAGUGGCAAGAGCUCAAGCUUGGGGAUGCCCAAGGCACCCAAAGUUGAUUCAAGGAUGCCGAAAAAGCCUAAGCUUGGGGAUGCCCCGGGAAGGCAUCCCCUCUAUCGUCUUCAAUCCAUCGGUAACGUUACUUGGGGCUAUAUUUUUAUUCACCACAUGUUAUGUGGUUUUGCUUGGAGCGUCUUGUAUCGUAGGAGUCUUUUAUUUUUGUUGUGUCACAAUCAUCCUUGCUGCACACCUAGAUAGAGAGACAUGCACUCACCGUGAUUUUGUCGAGCUUCACUUAUAUCCUUUGGUAGUCAAUUCAGCUCACAUGUGGUUCACUUAUAUCUUUUGAGCUAGAUACUUUUGCUCUAUGUGCUUCACUUAUAUCUUUUAGAGCGCAGCAGUGCGUGGCUUGGUAGUUGAUCUAUGCUUUGAAAGUAGUCUCAAAAGGGGUAGUUAUCCAAAGGGAUACGAAAACUUCCACCUUCAUGUGCAUUGAAUAGUUAGAGAAGUUUGAUUCAUCUCAAUUAGUUUUGAGUUGUGGUUUUGGUAAUAUUGAAGUCAUGCUAGUAAGGUGUUGUGGAUCUAGAAAUACUUGUGUUGAAGUUAGUGAUUCCCGUAGCAUGCACGUAUGGUGAAUCGCUAUGUGAUGAAGUAUGAGCAUGAUUAGUCUUUUGAUUGUCAUCCUUUGCGUGGCGGUCGGGAUCGCGCGAUGGUUUAUACCUACCAACCCUUCCCCUAGGAGUAUGCGUUGAAUGCUUUGUUUCAAUUACUAAUAAAACUUUUGCAACAAGUAUAUGAUUUCUUCAUGACUAAUGUGGAGUCCAUGGUUUAGAUGCACUUUCACCUUCCACCAUCACUAUCUUCUUAGUGCCGUGCAACUUUCAUCGGUGCACAAAACCCACCAUUAGCCUCCCUCAAAACAGCCACCAUACCUACCUACUAUGGCUUUCUCAAAGUCAUUCCGAGAUAUAUUGCCAUGCAACUACCACCAUGACAUGUGCCACCAUGUCUACAUUGCCAUUGCAUGAUCGUAAGAUAGCUAGCAUGAUUUUUCCAUUAAUGUCUAUGCCAUGCUAGAUCAUUGUCACGGUACACUACCGAAGGCAUUCCAUAUAGAGUCAUCGUUGCUCUGAGUUUUGAGUUGAGUGAUCAUCAUUGAUGGAGCAUUGUCCCAUGUGAGGAAAUAAAAGAGGCCAAAGAUGCCCAACAAAAAAAAAGAGGCCAAAGAGCCCACCAAAAAAAUGAGAGAAAAAGAGAGAAGGGACAAUGCUACCACCUUUCCACACUUAUGCAUAUUAAGCACCAUGGUCUUCAUGAUAGAGAGUCUCUCGUUUUGUCACCACCAUAUAGCUAGUGGGAAAUUUUCAUUAUAUAACUUGGCUUGUAUAUUCCUAUGAUAGGCUUCCUCAAAAUUGCCUUAGGUCUUCGUGAGCAAGCAAGUUGGAUGCACACCCACUAGUUUUCUUUAAGAGCUUUCACAUACUCGUAGCUCUAGUGCAUUAUUUGUAUGGCAAUCCCUACUCGUUCACAUCGAUAUCUAUUGAUGAGCAUCUCCACAGCUUAUUGAUAUGCCUAGUUAAUGUGAUCAUCUUCUCCUUUUUUGUCUUGCAACCUCCACCACACUCCACACCACUUAUAGUGCUAAAACCAUGGCUCACGCUCACGUAUUGCAUGAGAGUUGAAAAGGUUUGAGAAAGUAAAGGUGUGAAACAAUUACUUUGCCAAUACCGGGGUUGUGCAUGAUUUAAAUUCAUUGUGCAAUGAUGAUAGAGCAUAGCGAGACUAUAUGAUUUUGUAGGGAUAACUUUAUUUUUGGCCUUGUUAUUUUGAAAGUUCAUGAUUACCUUGCUAGUUUGCUUGAAGUAUUAUUGUCUCCACAUCAAUAGCAACCUAUUGUUUUGAAUCUAACGGAUCUGAACAUUCAUGUCCCAUGAGAGAAGUUACAAAGGACAACUACGUUAGGUAGCAUUUCACAUCAAAACUUCAUUCUUUAUCACUUCCCUACUCGACGACGAGCAGGAGUUAAGCUUGGGGAUGCUUGAUACGUCUCCAACGUAUCUAUAUUUUUUGAUGGUUCCAUGCUAUUAUCUUGUCAACUUUGGAUGUUUUAUAUUCAUGAAUAUGCUAUUUUAUAUCUUUUUGGGACUAACCUAUUAACUCAGUGCCAAGUGCCAGUUUCGGUUUUUCUGUGUUUUUGGCCCAUUUUCAGACGAAGUCCAAAUGGAAUGAAACUUUACGAUGAUUUUUUUGGACCAAAAGAGACCCCCAAAGCUUUGGGAGAAGGCCAGAUGGGCCACGAGGGAGUCACAAGCCCUCACGCCGCCACCACCACCCCCCCGAUGGUGGCGCGCAGGCUUGUGACCUCCUCGUGGGCCCAACUGACGCAAUUCCACUGCCAUAAAUUCCUAUAAAAUCAGAAACCCCAGAAAGAAACCUAGAUCGGGAGUUCCGCCGCUGCAAGCCUCUGUAGCCAUCAAAAACCAAUCUGGAGCCCGUUCUGGCACCCUGCCGGUGGGGGAAUCCAUCUCAGGUGGCCAUCUUCAUCAUCCCGGUGAUCUCCAUGAUGAGGAGGGAGUAGUUCUCCCUCGGGGCUGAGGGUAUGUACCAGUAGCUAUGUGUUUGAUCUCUCUCUCUCGUGUUCUUGAGAUGUCUUGAUCUCGAUGUACCAUGGGCUUUGCUACUAUAGUUGGAUCUUAUGAUGUUCUUCCCCCUCUCCCUCUUGUAAUGAAUUGAGUUUCCCCUUUGGAGUUAUCUUAUCGGAUUGAG